CGUAUGAUUAGUUUUUUCAAGUGACUCUUAGUGAAGUAAAAUUGUUUUUCCUUCGCGUCCAACUUCUAAUGUACCAAUAAUCACAUUAGCGAUAUACCGGCCUUCUUCAUCUAGCUUCGUCGAUAGAAACCCACAGUUUUUGAUUUUUACAAAACCUUUUUAUGUUGUUCAUUGUUUCUUCAUAACAAUUGGGCAACAUACGAUUUUUUUAAUGUCGAUUCGACAAGAAUACUCUUGUUUGUAUAUUUUUCCAAAAUGUUACGAAAACAAUUAUUUGAUAAUUUAUUCAAUAGAAUAUUAGCAGAUAAAAGGGCUUGACACAAAUCAUAAUUAAAUGUAUAUUUUUUGGAUGUCUAAGUAAGUAAACUCUGAUUUUUGGAAUUUCGAGUUUGUAAGUUUGUAUGUUCAAUACCAUUUAUGUGCUAACACGAGACAUGUGCUGUUCCACAGUGAACUUUUUAUCUGCUACAAGUUUAUCGUCACAUAUUUUACAAAAAAAUAUACAACCAUAUGUUGAAAAAACACUACUUCCGAAUUCUGAAACAUACGAUCGCGAAACGAGCACUAUUCGAAAUUUUAUUUUUAGGCAUUUUACAGAAGAAUAAAAAAACAAAAAAAAUACGUGAAACAGGACAAUUAAACGACACACGAGGCACUUGACAAC